UAUCUCAUAUUAGCGACAGUUCUCUUACGUGUUGCUGAUAGCCGGCUGGCUAGCUAGCUAGCUAGCGUAUGACAACACUACGCAAUGACGACACUAUCAAUGGCGCGCGUCUCUUCGCCCCUCCUCCGCUUUGAAAUUGACCGUAGACGUGAUUUUGUAAGACAACGUGGCUAUCGUUUCACCGGUAACACGUCUUUCCCCCCUCCUCCGCUUUGGACUUGAACUUACAGUGAUUUUCUGAAGUGUUUACUAAGACACACAGUAAGCUUUUACAAGGCGUUAACUACAGCAGCCUUUAAUACCUGAACUCUUGAUUCAGCCAAGGUAAGUGCCCCCCCUUAUAUUUCUAUGUAUGUGUUCAGGUGAUAUUUAGAAAAAAAUAGGUGUGUUUAGCGCUGGAUGUCAUUUUAUUCCAGAGCUGUUGUUUGUAAUUAAAACUUUUAAGAUUAGGUGGUACAGUGUUUUUACUCCCUUCCAAACAGUAAAGUUCCUCUUUGUCUCUCAGUAGGAAAUUUAAACCAGACAGUACAAGGCUACAUUUCAGUGUUACAAGCCAAUCAGUUUGCUAAUUGUUCUGUGAGAUUUGUUUGCAAAGUUUAAGGUGUUAAGUAGGACUGUGAACAUCUGGGUCUGCUUGCUGCUGGCAUUCUGCCAGAGCCCCAGCAACAAGACCGCCUCCCAGCAACGAGACUGCCUGUCAGCCUUGCAAGGUACC